GAUUCGUCACACUAUCAUUAACUGAAUCCAUAGGUUAAUGAGGCGAACCGGGGGAACUGAAACAUCUAAGUACCCCGAGGAAAAGAAAUCAACCGAGAUUCCCCCAGUAGCGGCGAGCGAACGGGGAGGAGCCCAGAGCCUGAAUCAGCAUGUGUGUUAGUGGAAGCGUCUGGAAAGGCGCGCGAUACAGGGUGACAGCCCCGUACACAAAAGCGCAUGUGCUGUGAGCUCGAUGAGUAGGGCGGGACACGUGGUAUCCUGUCUGAAUAUGGGGGGACCAUCCUCCAAGGCUAAAUACUCCUGACUGACCGAUAGUGAACCAGUACCGUGAGGGAAAGGCGAAAAGAACCCCGGCGAGGGGAGUGAAAAAGAACCUGAAACCGUGUACGUACAAGCAGUGGGAGCACCCUUCGGGGUGUGACUGCGUACCUUUUGUAUAAUGGGUCAGCGACUUAUAUUCUGUAGCAAGGUUAACCGUAUAGGGGAGCCGGAGGGAAACCGAGUCUUAAUUGGGCGUUAAGUUGCAGGGUAUAGACCCGAAACCCGGUGAUCUAGCCAUGGGCAGGUUGAAGGUUGGGUAACACUAACUGGAGGACCGAACCGACUAAUGUUGAAAAAUUAGCGGAUGACCUGUGGCUGGGGGUGAAAGGCCAAUCAAACCGGGAGAUAGCUGGUUCUCCCCGAAAGCUAUUUAGGUAGCGCCUCGUGAAUUCAUCUCCGGGGGUAGAGCACUGUUUCGGCUAGGGGGCCAUCCCGGCUUACCAACCCGAUGCAAACUGCGAAUACCGGAGAAUGUUAUCACGGGAGACACACGGCGGGUGCUAACGUCCGUCGUGAAGAGGGAAACAACCCAGACCGCCAGCUAAGGUCCCAAAGUCAUGGUUAAGUGGGAAACGAUGUGGGAAGGCCCAGACAGCCAGGAUGUUGGCUUAGAAGCAGCCAUCAUUUAAAGAAAGCGUAAUAGCUCACUGGUCGAGUCGGCCUGCGCGGAAGAUGUAACGGGGCUAAACCAUGCACCGAAGCUGCGGCAGCGAACGUAUCACCCAAGACAACUUUACGGAGUUGACGAUUGACGGAGCGAAGCGACGUCAAAGCGUUCAUUAAAGUCGAGUUGGCUUAGGGAUACGUUCGUUGGGUAGGGGAGCGUUCUGUAAGCCUGUGAAGGUGUGUCGUGAGGCAUGCUGGAGGUAUCAGAAGUGCGAAUGCUGACAUAAGUAACGAUAAAGCGGGUGAAAAGCCCGCUCGCCGGAAGACCAAGGGUUCCUGUCCAACGUUAAUCGGGGCAGGGUGAGUCGACCCCUAAGGCGAGGCCGAAAGGCGUAGUCGAUGGGAAACGGGUUAAUAUUCCCGUACUUGGUGUUACUGCGAAGGGGGGACGGAGAAGGCUAUGUUGGCCGGGCGACGGUUGUCCCGGUUUAAGCGUGUAGGUGUGUGUUCCAGGUAAAUCCGGUUCACUUUAACACUGAGGC
rnacentral:rRNA from 1 species